UCAUCUGGACAAAUAGCUCAGCUGGUAGAGCAUGAGACUUUUAAUGUCAGAGUCAUGGAUUCAAGGCCCACAUUGGGUGAA